UCUGGGCAUCAGUUGAGCAGAUGCCCAGGAUGCCUGGGGGAGACCAGCUUCCCGUACAAAUCAGAGCUCUAAAUUACAAGGUUUUUACCAACGCGAACAGUUGGGGGAAGUCGUCUGCUCUCAUUUGCGUAAUGGUUUCUGUCACUGGUGAUUAGACACAGGAUGAAGGAAAAGAAAUUUGACAAUUAGGAAUGAGCGAUCAUUAAUCUGAAUCUGUUAGGAGACAGAGAGGGGAAGGAUCCUUAUCGGUGGGCCAGCCCAGUGUGGGGAGGCCCUCCCUCUGCCCCCACCAGAGACUCUUGGGCCACGUACCCUUUCCUUGUUUCCACAAGCCGACUGAGCUGAUAUUUCUUGACAGGCUAGGUGGGCCCAGUCCCCAGUCUGAGGUGGAUACAGGAAUGGACACGUAUAGGCACGAGCCAUCAGAGAGAGAGAGAUGGGUGUCAAUUGCAAGUGAUAGGGCAAAGGAUAAUGACAGAAUAUUUGUGACAUGCUUGCUGUUUGUGGAAAAAUUUUUUAAUUCAACACCCCAGAUACCCUUCUUGUGACAAGUAUUUGUUAUAUUCUAACACUACAGGGUGUGGAGAAAACCUAGUUUUUAUCCUGUAGGAGCUUCUACUUAGUUGGAGGGGAAACCACAUGAAACAACUAGCGGUUAUGAAGCCAUGAAUCGUGCGCCCUGUGAGGACAAGAUGAGAGAUUGUUGAGAGAUGAGGAAGAUCAGUAGAGAGCAAACCUCUGGGCUCCCCAAGGAGUAAUGUUGAUUCUUCCCAGUCAGUUCAGCCGUAGUAGUUGCAUGGAGGGCACUGAGGCCCCACCCAGAUACGUGAACAGGUAAUGAGAUCACCUCCAGUGGGCUGAGUUGUAAGGUGUGGAGAUUCCCAACCUGGAUCUUCCCAGGUCUCUGUGGUACCUGUGUUCAUUCUUCCUCUGUCUUCAAACUUCAGGGACUGUAUUAAUUUGCACUAGUUGGUAUUUGUUCCUCAGUUUUGUGACUUGUAUGUGGUGGGUUCCUUAGAUUAGAAGCUCCCUCAUAGAUUGGGGAAAAGGGUGGUUCCUUGUCUCCUGUCAGAAUGUGAACUUCACAGACAGGACUGUUUCUCUUCCUCGAUAAGUUCCCUACCUCUGUAGCUUCUACCCUUCCAGAUCGGAUGCAGAGUUUAGUAGGGCUGCAGGGAAUGGCCCUCAGUGACUAGUUUUACCCAAAUAGGAUGGAUGCCGGGGUGCACUGAGAAGUGGCUCAUGGGGUUCCAGGGGCCCUGGCCUUUCAAGCCAGUUCUUGUCCUUCCCUGGGACCUUCGGUGCUCAUUCUCCAGUCCCUGCUGACUUCUCUGGUGUCCUCUCAAGCUUCCUGCAUUGAAGAGAUGUUCCAGUUUCCCUUUUCAGGGCUCCUCCAGUUUCUCCUACUCAGCCUCCCUCUGUCCAGUCUCCACCAAGAGCCUUUUUCCUGAACGGGCGUUGCCCUCUCUUCAAAAGCCACGUCCAUGGCUGCAAGUGUUGGGAUAGAGUUUCUCUAGGAUCCCUCUCCCUGGGAUCAGCCCUGAGCAUGUUUGAGUCAUCUUCUCUUCUGACCUGCAGUUAGUCUGUUUGUUCUGUGCCUACACUGCCCACGUAGCAUUCCUUUGUUUGUUCUGUAUAGCCUGUUUAGCUUUUCUAACUCUGGUGGCUCUUCUGCUAGUCUUCAGCCGUCUGUUUAAUCCUCACAGGUCUUGGGGUCCUUAGUGGAGACUGAGCACUUUUGGUGCGUUUUUAGGGGACGAGGCCGUAGACACUAGCAACCGUGAGGCCUGAGGAUCUAUGGCCAGUGGUGCCUCCAAAGAUGGGUGAGGGGAGGGUACCCAGAGUCUUGGAUAACGGAGAAUCAUGAGGAGGGAUUGGGUGGGAGAAUCCCCAGGAGUGGGGCCAGGCCUGGCAAUCCAGGGUGGAAGAAGCAGAGUUUUGUGUUUCCAUCUGAAUGCAUCUGUGUGCCUUACGGUCCAGCAAGCAGUUCAGGGAUUGUGGUCAUCUUGUGGAUGUCUCCUGGCCUGUGGUGUCUUUGGCGAUGCUCUGAGUCACCAAGUUUGGCUGAUCUCCGCAUUUCAGCGCUUGCUGGGACGGAAAUAGCAUGUUGAGUAAUUUUGUGUCUGGAGCGAAGGUCUUAGAUGAGACAAGCCACGGAAGCUGGGAUAGCAGGUGAGGGACCAGUGGUCAGCUUACCCAGAUUGUCUUUCCACUCCUCCAAGUGUUUAGGCACAAAAACUGAUUAAAGAAGUGAAAAAAACUAGGCCUUGCCUUCUUUCCCACCCGAAGUCUGGGUUUUAGGUAGUAUUUUGGGAAGGGGCAUGUGUCUUUACCUUCCAAUAGAAGCAACCUAGCAUAGUGUUUUAAAGCAUGGAUUUUGGAGUCAGAUGUGUUUGGUUCUGGUUCAGAUUUCUAGCUUUGCCACUUAUCAGCCAGGUUUGACCUUGUUGAUUGACUUUACCUCUCUGAGCCUCAGUUUCCUCAAUUACAAUAAUAUGUGUGGGGGGCGAGGGGAAGUGUUGAAAAUAUCUACCUCAGGGUUGUUGGAUUAACUGAAACGAUGUUUGUAAAGCUUUAGCACGUACCUGGCAAGCACUUAAUAAAUGGCUGUGGUGGUGGUGGUUACGUUUAUUAUGUGACUUAUUCAGAAACUUUAUUUCAGUGAUUUGUGAGCAGAUUUCCAGUGAUUUUUUUUUUUCCUCUCUCAAGAAAACCAUAGGAAAGAACAAGGAACAUGCCCUGGAGACACCCACAUCGAGUCGCAGGCAGACAGAAGGGCUUUGGUACCCAAACCUGUCCUAGAAGGAGGGAAACAGGGAAAUGCCUGAUGCCUUCUGUCUAGACAGCCAGACUUUACCACUCUCAACACCAGCCCAAGGCCAGGGUGAGAAGUCAUCAGUCCUGCCGCUGGACCACCAAUCCGGCUUGUUCUGCCAUCUGUCGAGUCCCUGGACUGGUUCCACCUCCUCCAGAAAGCCUUCCCUGACUACCUGAACCCACACAGAGCUCGGCUGCAGUGGGGGGAGAUGAAAAGGAGGAGAAACUGUUGGAUAAAAAGAAAUUCAAAAAAAAAAAAGUAAGUGAAAUAUUCAAACUGGAAAGUGAUAUUAUAGAAACUGCAGCCCACGGCUCAGUGCAUUCAAAUUUAUUCAAACUCGGCGCCUGACAGUGAUGGAUGCAGCAGCUUUUCCCACAAUAUGGAGAAGGCGCGGGGGCAUUUAGGACUGCGGGUCCCCUCCGGGAGGGUGGGGGCCCACACCACCUCCCAUGCUUUGCUCCUCCUAAAUGGGAAUGAGGUUCUGGGUCCUGUCCCCUCUACUUCCUAAACCCCACGGUUCCGGGGAUGCUGGGGGACCUGGGCAUCGCUGGCUCAGGUGCUGGGGUAUGGCCCAAGAUAGAGGUAGCCAGCUGUGGAACAGAGUGCGCUCUAGUGCCAAGGAAGAGGGUGGUCAACCCUUUCCAGGGGAUGACCCGACGAGGGUGUUACCUACAUCAAAAAGAAGAGCGUGGCUGUGUGGUUUGUAGCCAAGUAAACAGCAUGAACCUUAGAAACCCCUGAGUAUGCUGAGAUCUAAGGGUCUCAGGAAUCCCAAGUCAGGGGGCAUUCGGUCCCAGUGGCUCCCACUUUCCUGCCCAUUGACUCCCACCUUUGCUCCAUCCAGGAGAGGGACAGGAGGGCCUCUGGUGAAACCUCAAAUCUGGGGGCUUGGUGUGAGCAGUGGGCAGGUGAUAGACUACCCUGCAUGCUGUGCCCCGGAGUAGCCCUUGCUCCCAGGAGCACCCUCCAGCCUCACUUCUCCCCCAACAAGGUUGCUCCCGGCCUCCCGUCCAACCUCUUGACCACCAGGCCCCACUUCUGAUUCUCAGGGCCCAUCCCUGAGUGACUGGAAUACCAGUCACUCGAGGAGAACUACCCAUCUCCUGGCUGCCUUGUCCACUGCACUCUCCCCCUGCGUCUCUAACCCUCCUUCUCUGUCUCU